rnacentral:lncRNA from 1 species
ACAUAGAAAAAAUUUCAGAAUUAUUUUAUUCCUCCUAUGACAAUUUAAAUCUGAUUUAUAUGAUAAAAAUAUUGCUAAUAAAAUAAAAAGAUAAAAAUAUAAAUGAAUACUCCAUUUCCUUUCUGCCUCUGAAAUUAAACAUGCAUACUCUUUAUUCCUUGCCAAAAGCCUACCAUUUAUGAGCAACUUUUUAUAAGGACCCCAUUGCUUCUAAGUAAUUGAGAUUUGUGAUAUAGUAGGAUGAUUUGAAACUUGCUCACUUAUGUAAUGAACUUGGAGAUUUAUUUGAUAAAAUUAAAAUUGCAAAAAGUCUGCUCUUCAAUGAUAGAUAAUUACCUUCCAAGGCCAAAUAUAUUACUCUUGAUAAAAAUUCUACAAAUAGCUGCUUAUUUGUUUUGAGUUGUGUCAAGUCUUGUUGACCCUGGUUAAGAGAUUUAUCAUACUCUCAAGAUCAAGAUCUCGUACACUCGAGAUACAUAUAUAUGCCGCUUCUACACUGGGAGUGCGCAAAAAAAUGCCUUACAUGUCCACCAUACAAACACUCCAUGUUUUAAAGAAUGAUCUCUCUAGUGCAUCUUAGAUAAAGACAUGGGCUAUGCAAAAAUAUAUAUAUAUAAAAAAGAAGAAAAAAAAUUGGCAAGUGCCCGCCGUAGAAUUAGGGGUAUAAAAAUACCCACCUAAAAAAAUAUAGGACACAUGAAGGUCCUAAGUAUACAAAAAAAAGAUGAGCACAUGAAGGCUCACAAGAAAAUAAAAGAGUUAUGAUAGCCAUGUCUAGAAAUACUUGAUGAGAUCAUAUCAACUAACGGAGUUGUUUAUACCAUAUACCACACACUUGCACAUCUUGAUCUAAGGGUAUGACACUUCUCUUCUUGGAUCCGAGAUUUGACUCGACAAUACAUACAAGGUAAGUAUGCAUUCUCCUUGGUCCAUACCCAAAACUCCAAAUACAGCUUAUAGAGGUAGGACAAAUCAAGAGGUACUUUUACCUUGGUAAGCAACCAGAAACAUUCUCGAGUGAUUUGAGAGUAUCAUCUGAAGAGCAAGACUAUUUUUAUUCAAAAAGGUAAAAACCCAAGUUUUGAGCAAAGAUGAGUAAAAAGAUUUGAAUCCUAACUGUUCCAUUUUUCAAUUACUCAAGAUGUUUUGGUAGACACUCUGAAUGCUCAUAAGUUCAGGUGAGGCUUGGAAUAGUUUGUAUGCAGGUUCAUUAUCAGGAGAAGUGGAACCAUCUUAGCCCAAAAACAUAAGCUUUACUCGAGGACGAGCAAAGGGCUAAGUGUGGGGGAGUUUGUUGGCGUUUCUUAAAAUACAAUUUUCAUACCGCCAACAUGCAUACAAACUCUAUAAAAUAUCACCAAACAUUAGAAAUAGGGCUUUUUAUGCUAACCAAAUUCCACAGUUUUGGUGAACACAUGUGUAUGGAGGACACUAGGGUUUGAGCUGCCAAAAUCAAAGAAUGGAAGGCACAUUUAAUUCAUAUACAGAAGUGCAUCGAAAUGCAAUUGGAUUCAAACUCAGAAGGCCGAGGAGCAUCGUCUGGGCUUUGGGCUUGGGCCAACGGAGCCAGCCAGGGGCGGCCGCCCCCUAGGGUCGGCCAACCCCGGCCUGGCCCAGCUCCCCACCGCCUUUUGCAGAGGCGGUGCAUGCGAAGCCCUAGCGCGGUUUCCGGCUGCAUUUUGCAGUUUACCCCCUCACAAACCGACCUUCCACACCUAUAUAAGGACGGGGAGAGGGCCUCUCAUUCAUCAUCAUUCAAUCCAUUCAAGCUUUAAGUCCACAAGAAUAAAGAGAGAUACAAGAGUAGUAGUAGAGAGGCGGAGCUUCCACUCAUAUCCUUAGCCUCUAGUUAGGAAUAGAAUAGGAGAGUGAGUUAGAGUGUAGAGUAAGAGAAGU